rnacentral:lncRNA from 1 species
AUGCUUGAUGGCUGUCAUGAAAUUCUGACAAAGAUUUGGAGAGAGACUUACAUAAAUUCCUGCAUCCUCAAUGACUGUGGGAAGGGCCUUCCUUCACUAAUCAAGACUUCUUCUGUCUGCACUGGUGCCUGGUGUCUGUGCUUGGAAAAACAAAAUGAGUAGCGUCAGUGCGUAACUUAAUUGCUUUGAACCAAGAGCAUGUGGUCCUGCCUGGACCGAAUGACCGCCACGCGAUGUACUGUCACCUUGUCCUUCUGGGCCUUUCAAUCCACUUGCGUUUGAAACCCAGGCUCGUUGUUUUUACCUCCUCUGCACAGUCCUUGACGAGGAUGUCAGGCUGCUGAAGAUGUGCUCCUGCACGCUUGGGGACACUGCCUGGUUUCCGAGGCAGUCCAGCUGUGGAUAGAAACAUUACCUUGGCAUUUCUCCCAACUGGGAAUGCAGUCUGUUUAUGUGUUCUGUUAGGAAAGGUGCAUGACAAGGUGUCAUUCUCCUAGCUGUGUGUCUUCCUUUUCCUAGGACAAAUAUAGAAAAGAUUGGAAGUUUGCACAAGAAGUGGUCGCUUAUUAAUGCUAUUGACAUUAGGUGAGUUUAGAUGUCUAACCUAAGUGUUGGUGGCCCAAUUCUCUAUAUGACCAAAGGAGUGAGGUGUGCACUUCCAAUACAGAGCACUGAAGAGAAGUGCCCAAGGUACUUUUAGGUAGACAGUCAGUGAUGCCUGAGUCUCUCUCUAAUCCUUCAGACCCUGAUCCGAUUUUCAGUUACUUCAGCAGCAG